CACGUAGGGUGCAGGCGUUGUCCGGAUUCAUUGGGCGUAAAGGGCUAGUAGGCGGCUUAGCAAGUCGGGUGUGAAAACUUCAGGCUCAACCUGGAGCGGCCAUCCGAUACUGCUAUGGCUAGAGUCCGGUAGGGGACCACGGAAUUCCUGGUGUAGCGGUGAAAUGCGCAGAUAUCAGGAGGAACACCGAUGGCGAAGGCAGGUCUCUGGGCCACUACUGACGCUGAGAAGCGAAAGCAUGGGGAGCGAACAGG
rnacentral:rRNA from 1 species